UACCCGCUGAACUUAAGCAUAUCAAUAAGCGGAGGAAAAGAAACCAACAGGGAUUGCCUCAGUAACGGCGAGUGAAGCGGCAACAGCUCAAAUUUGAAAUCUGGCUCUUUCAGGGUCCGAGUUGUAAUUUGCAGAGGAUGCUUCGGGUUCGGCUCCGGUCUAAGUUCCUUGGAACAGGACGUCAUAGAGGGUGAGAAUCCCGUAUGUGACUGGUCGCCACGCCCGUGUGAAGCUCCUUCGACGAGUCGAGUUGUUUGGGAAUGCAGCUCAAAAUGGGUGGUAAAUUUCAUCUAAAGCUAAAUAUUGGCCAGAGACCGAUAGCGCACAAGUAGAGUGAUCGAAAGAUGAAAAGCACUUUGGAAAGAGAGUCAAACAGUACGUGAAAUUGUUGAAAGGGAAGCGCUUGCAACCAGACUUGCCCGCGGGUGAUCAGCCGGUAUUCUUACCGGUGCACUCGCCCGUGGUCAGGCCAGCAUCGGUUUGGGCGGCUGGAUAAAGUCCACCGGAAUGUAGCUUCCCUCGGGGAGUGUUAUAGCCGGAGGUGCCAUGCAGUCCGCCCGGACCGAGGACCGCGCUUCGGCUAGGAUGCUGGCGUAAUGGUUGUAAGCGACCCGUCUUGAAACACGGACCA
rnacentral:rRNA from 1 species